GAGUUUGAUCCUGGCUCAGAAUGAACGCUGGCGGCAGGCCUAACACAUGCAAGUCGAACGCUCCGCAAGGGGAGUGGCGCACGGGUGAGUAACGCGUGGGAAUAUGCCCUUCGGUUCGGAAUAACACAGGGAAACUUGUGCUAAUACCGGAUACGAUCUACGGAUGAAAGAUUCAUCGCCGAAGGAGUAGCCCGCGUAGGAUUAGCUAGUUGGUGAGGUAAUGGCUCACCAAGGCGACGAUCCUUAGCUGGUCUGAGAGGAUGAUCAGCCACACUGGGACUGAGACACGGCCCAGACUCCUACGGGAGGCAGCAGUGGGGAAUAUUGGACAAUGGGCGAAAGCCUGAUCCAGCCAUGCCGCGUGAGUGAUGAAGGCCUUAGGGUUGUAAAGCUCUUUUCGCCGGGGAAGAUAAUGACGGUACCCGGAAAGAAGCCUCGGCUAACUCCGUGCCAGCCGCCGCGGUAAC
rnacentral:rRNA from 1 species